rnacentral:tRNA from 1 species
GCCCGGCUAGCUCAAUCGGUAGAGCGUAAGACUUCUACAGGGAAAACAUCUUAAGGCUGCGGGUUCGACCCCCGCGUUGGGCU